rnacentral:rRNA from 1 species
CCCUUAGAUGUUCUGGGCCGCACGCGCGCUACACUGACUGGUGCAACAAGUGUCGCUCCUUGGCCGAUAGGCCUGGGCAAUCUUUGAACGUGAAUCGUGAUGGGGAUAGAUGAUUGCAAUUAUUCAUCUUCAACGAGGAAUUCCUAGUAAACGCAAGUCAUCAGCUUGCAUUGAUUACGUCCCUGCCCUUUGUACACACCGCCCGUCGCACCUACCGAUUGAAUGGUCCGGUGAAAUCUUCGGAUCUGAGAGAUGUCUGAUUAAUUUCGGACGCCUUUUGGAAAAGUUGCUUAAACCUUACCAUUUAGAGGAAGGUGAAGUCGUAACA